GAUGAAGAACGCAGCGAAAUGCGAUAAGUAAUGUGAAUUGCAGAAUUCAGUGAAUCAUCGAAUCUUUGAACGCACAUUGCGCCCGCCAGUAUUCUGGCGGGCAUGCCUGUCUGAGCGUCAUUUCAACCCUCAUGCCCCUAGGGCGUGGUGUUGGGGAUCGGCCAAAGCCCGCGAGGGACGGCCGGCCCCUAAAUCUAGUGGCGGACCCGUCGUGGCCUCCUCUGCGAAGUAGUGAUAUUCCGCAUCGGAGAGCGAUGAGCCCCUGCCGUUAAACCCCCAACUUUCCAAGGUUGACCUCAGAUCAGGUAGGAAUACCCGCUGAACUUAAGCAUAUAAUAAGCGGAGGA
rnacentral:misc_RNA from 1 species